rnacentral:rRNA from 1 species
CACGUAGGGUGCGAGCGUUGUCCGGAAUUAUUGGGCGUAAAGAGCUCGUAGGCGGUGUGUCGCGUCGGCCGUGAAAACCUGCAGCUUAACUGUGGGCUUGCGGUCGAUACGGGCAUCACUGGAGUUCGGCAGGGGAGACUGGAAUUCCUGGUGUAGCGGUGAAAUGCGUUGAGAUCCGGAGGAACGCCCGCGGCGAAAGCGCGUCCCUGGACCCCGCCUGACGCUGAGACGCGAAAGCCAGGGGAGCGAACGGG